ensembl:lncRNA
AGAACCUGCAUGAUACUUGUCUCUGAUAUUUAGCUCUGUGAACUUUAUACGUCUCUGUGCACUAAGUGCUCUCACUAAAGCUCCUUUUUAGUCCUUUCCAUCAAGCUAAAGUCACUGGCACAUGUCAGCAUCGUGUCUGAAUGAGGACCCUGAUUUAUUUUGCCAUACAAAUAACAAUUAUUUUAAUAACCUCUUAAUUUAUGCAUUUAUUGUGUCUGUACAAAAUGACUCAGCAUUAUGCUUUCAAUUUGUCUGUGUGACAAUCUCAUAAACAUCUUUAAAUAGCUUCUUUUUUUCUUUUCAAGUGCUGGUUAAAAGGAGCUAUUCAAGUCAAAAUUACGUAACUUGACCUCUCUGUGGGGGAUCCUGCCUCACACUUAAGCUAAUUUUCCCACAGUUUCUCUGUGUGCUGAAGCUCUCCGCUGAUAAUGGAGGGAACGAUAGAAAGGGGUCAAGUGUAUUGGCUGGCUCCUCUAGUUUUCUGCAGUGUAAACACUAGUUUUAAGAGUAGCUUUGUCGUUAAAAUAUGACUUAUGAAUGCUGAGAAAAAAUUCUUUUCUAAAAUCGAGGGUGGAAAAGAGAAAAUAUGGUUGACAUCAUGGAACAGAGCACAUAUCUCAAGACAGAAGGGAUUGACACUGAACAAACAUAGUCUGGAAAUAAGUGAAUUUCACACUCACGUUUAUCCUCCCUGUGUUGGUGUAGCAGUAAUGACGAGAUCUCAAUCUCCAUCUGCCCCAGGUCCUCCUAAGGCUUCGCUUUGCUUUUGGUUUCUAACCAUUGAGUGUUGUCUGAAAAACUACAAAUACCGAAUAAGGUGAAAUAUAAGCAUUAUAUAUUUGGGUAAAAAACAUAAUUUCUGUUAGGAUUAUCAAAGUAUUGCGAUUCUGAUUCUGAUAAAAUAUUCAUGAACAAAAUGUAAAAAUCCCUCAUAACAAGACAAAAUCUGUUUGUUGAACUUGGGUGAGACAUGAGUGUUGGGAUAACUUCUCUGUUAACACCAGCCUCAUAUUUAUUCAGACUAUUAUCUAGAGACACCAGUUAUAUUCCUCAAGGCCAGUGAUCUCUUCAACAUAAACACUGUUUUUGGACUGGUAAAGAACUGUAUAAAAAGACCAGGUAAUCAAGUACGCUUAGCAAAAGGCAAUUCUUCACAAACACAGGGAGCGUGUGCUAUACGUAUAACGACAACAAUGUACUUAUUCUUAUAGUCCUUCCAGUAUUUACAGUUAAAUGGGAAGCUCUGUGGUCUGUGUCGAUGGCUUUUCAAAACAGAAAGGAAAUGACAGAAGUGACAAAAGCAGAAAAAAGAGUCAGGGUGUUGUUAAUUAAAGAGGUACUAUAAGCAUCUUAUGAAGGCUGUAUUUGGAAUUCCUAAAGAUCCUAACCCAUAAUAUUAUUUUUUUAAUACAUCAUUGUAUAAUAUUUCUAAAAUGUGAUCCCCCCGAACUCCAACCCCAGUUUUGCAGCAAAUGAUCAUUUUUAAUCCAUCGAAGUUUAUUUUCUUAGUUUGAGAGUAUGAGAAAGCCUAUUAAAUGACACCUAUUACUUGGUUUUUUUUCUCAAAGCUUCCUAUUUUAGUGUGAACUUUUUUCCUUUUCUUGCCGUGGUGUCUUUUGUUUGAGCUUCUGCUUAUCUAAGUAAGGCAUGAAUUACUACCACUGCGACAUUUUAAAAUGUUUUUAAGGUGUAGUUGAUUUGUAAUCGUGAUUGUAAACAUAGUAAAAUUGUACAAACAUGCAAAUUUCCAUCUAACAGUAACUGUCAGGAAGAGGAAAUUGCCAAAAAUAAAUGCUAAAACUUGCUGUUACUUAACUUAUAUAUUGAAAUUUAACAAGUGUGGACUCCAUAUUUACAGACAAAUGUGCCGUGACUGACUAAAUGCAGUUAUUUGUGCAUGGUUCAUAAACAAUGUAAAUCCAUUCAGUGCUUUUCAGAUUUGCACAAAGUGUGUUUUGUUAUUGCAUGUGAUAUUUUCUAUUUUUAUCUUCUUAGGAUGAUGUUCUUAUGAUGUUCACUUUCUAUAGCUAUCCCAUGCUCUCGAGAUCAUUUCAUUUUCAUUUGAUGGGGAUUCACCAGUUAACAUCAUGAUACUUGUGUUUUAAGACACCUUUUUCACAGUCUUCAUUCUGACAUGCAAAUAGAUGUAAGUGCAAAACUUUUCAUCCCAUUCUAUGUAUAGCACCAUGACAUAUAUAAAUUGAAAUGGGCUAUAACUAAUGCUAUUAAUUACACCUGUGUUUAAGCAGAAACAAUCUGUCAAAAUGAACCUUUCUGAGGCAGGAGGCUUGUUUCAGUGUUUACACCCUCUGGCAAAAAAUUAUAGCAUCAUUGCAUGUGGAGGAUCUUCAUUCAACUCCUUUACCUUGUAGCAAAUAAACAAACUGUGUCACAAAACUGUUUUUGUUUAAUAGUGGAACAUGAAAGAUACCUCAAGCACAUUAAAUAAUUGUAAUUAAUGUAUUUGGUUUUUUCAAAAUCAAGUAGUGGAAGAGAAGCUGUUGCACCUGGCUGAUUGAAAGGAGGCAAGCCCCCAACAAGAGAGCUGUCAGUUAAAUCAAACUCAUUGCCAGAAGAAUCCAACACUAAGUGUAGCUAAAGAUGUUUGUUCCCAGUCAACCGUGUCUAUAACUUGGAGUAAGUACAACCGAAAUGGGAAAGUUCUAGGAGGAAAACUUGCAGGUAGACAGGAGAUGUCAAAGUGUCAGGAUAGAAAAUCAGAGCAGUACGCCCUGAAAAUGGAAAAUGUUCAAAAAUGUUAACAAAUGGGCCGUAAUGUUUGUGACAGAAUUAUAAAAAUUAAAUGGGAUCUACAUACAGAAAACCAAAAGGAAAACCAGCACUAACAUCCAUACAGAAACAAGGUUACAGUGAGCUAAAAAGAGAAUGAAAGGCUAUCUCGCUCUCUCUCUCUCUCAAUCUUGGGACUAUAGAUGAUUGGAUGUAAGUGACUCCAGUGAUAAAUCACAAAGUCAGCCAACUAGGCAAGGAAAAGAUACCCUGAUGCUGUUCCAAUGACACAUAUAUGAAGAUGACUGCUUGAUGAAAACAAGCAAACUUUAUCAAAUAAAAGGCCCGGGGAAGAUGGCAAUCAUUACUUCAGCAGUAAAUGCAGAAGUGUACACUCAGAUUUUCGUACCCUUCUAAUCAGAAAGCCGGUUUGGUGAUGAUAAUAGAGUCAUUUAAUCAGAAAAGGCCCAUUACCUCAGUGCUAUGGACACAAAAAAAGGGUUAAGAUUUCAAUCUGACUGAAAAUUUAUGGUGAAAAACUGAGCUCAGCUGUUAUUUGAAAAAGUUGGAAUUAACCAGAUGGAGAGUAUUGCUUUUCAUUAGUGAGCUCCAUGCCUCAAACCUUUUGGGGCGUCAUAAAAGCCUGAGGAGGUACUAAAUUGAGAUGAUUUCCUCAACAGUGAUUCCAUUUUUUUCCCCUCCACAUGAUCUUGAACAGAAAUGUCAUGUAUUAAAAUAGUUGAAAUUAAUUUGUUUGAGGUAUGAUUCAUGAAGCCAGAAUGUUCAGCUAAUGAAUAAAAUAGUUCUGUGUCAUAUCUCUGAUUUAUUAUUGUGCCGUGAUACCAUAGUUUUGCCGGGGGCUGUAGCUGCUCCUCCUGAAUUUGACAGAAGUCUGCACAUGCUCUAAACUCCACAGUUAAAGUGCAUUAAGAAACAAAAUGCAAAAUGUGGUUUAUCAGUUAUACAAUAGAAAAGCCUGUAGUUCAGUAGUUGCAGUCCAGCUAGCACAUAAUCAUUUUAAACCUGAAGGGUUCUUGAAGCAUGUUUUUAACCGUAAGGAUUCUUCAGCUAAUAAUACUUUGCUUUGUGAAGUUUCCCAUUAUUAUGUGGUUUAAAAAAGUGUGCUGGUUUUAGACUCUGGCAGAAAGAGUCUUAUUUAAAUGUAUAUUUAAAUACUAUUUAAAUGUCUUUCUAUCCUGCAUGCUAUGAACUUGUAAGCUAUUUAACACAAUUAAAAGUUUUUAAC